UACGAAGGGUGCAAGCGUUAAUCGGAAUUACUGGGCGUAAAGGGUGCGUAGGCGGUUGUUUAAGUCUGUCGUGAAAGCCCCGGGCUUAACCUGGGAAUUGCGAUGGAGACUGCAAGGCUUGAAUCUGGCAGAGGGGGGUAGAAUUCCACGUGUAGCAGUGAAAUGCGUAGAGAUGUGGAGGAACACCGAUGGCGAAGGCAGCCCCCUGGGUCAAGAUUGACGCUCAUGCACGAAAGCGUGGGGAGCAAACAGG
rnacentral:rRNA from 1 species